GACGAACGCUGGCGGCGUGCUUAACACAUGCAAGUCGAACGGAGUGGCGAACGGGUGAGUAUUACGUGAGUAACCUGCCCUCAACUGUGGGAUAAGCCUGGGAAACUGGGUCUAAUACUGCAUAGUUGGGGAUGGGCUCGCGGCCUUUCGGGUUGUUGGUGGUGUGAUGGCCUACCAAGGCGGUGAGGGGUGGCCGGCCUGAGAGGGUGGUCGGCCCCAUUGCGCCUGAGAUACGCCCCAGAGUCCUACGGGAGGCAGCAGUUGGGCAUAUUGCACAAUGGGCGCAAGCCUGAGGCAGCUACACCGCGUGAGGGAUGAAGGCUUUCGGGUUGUAAACCUCGUUCGGUACAGAACGGGUAUGUGCAGAAGAAGCGCCGGCUAACUACGUGCCAGCAGCCGCGGUAAUUC
rnacentral:rRNA from 1 species